UAAUUUGAAAAUAAAAAUAUAAUUAAUUAUAAAUUCAAGAAACUAUAUACAAAAAAUCAAAUGUUUUAACAAUAAAUAAUGAUUUUUUUUUUUAACACUGAUCUAUUAUUCUAUUACAAAUUAUGAGAACUAUUACAUCGACAAUUUAACAACGGACAAGUCUCCUGCCUGCAAAUACGCCAAACGAAUCUCCAUGCAUCACGUUGAAAACCUCCGGUAAGCUUGUCUCCAUUAAUCUGCAAAUUAAUAAUAAAUCGCACAUUCCGGGACUCGAAACCCAGAUCUCUUGGUAUAAAAGCAUUAAAGAUCCAUUAACCACUAGGCUAAGGAAGCUUCCACAACAAUAAAUAAUGAUUAGAAUGAGGAAAAAAAAUAAAAAUAAAAAUAAAAAAGGUCUUAAAAAACAUCAGGCGCCGUUUCCUACUCUAUAUUGCUCUUCCUUCGCUUCUCGGAUCUGCCUUCCCCGAUCUGCCUCCAUAUCAAUCUUCCUUCUCAGAUCUGCCUCCGCCACCGCAUUUAACACAUCUCUCCAGUGUAGGACGAAUCUCCAUUGCUGCCUCUCUCACAUCUGAAGCCACCGUCACCACUGUCUCGAAGUUUUCCUUUCAGUCCGUUGUCGUUGUUGCUUCUGGCGAAAUUAUUUCCCAGAUCCAAUCUCUCUGAAGAAUUUUAUGUAUCUACUAAAAGAAGAAGAAGAAACUAAAAAGAAGAAGAAGAAGAAACUAAAUGAAAAGGAACAGAAAGUAAAACUUCAAUUUCAAAAUACCAUUCUAACAUUUUGAUAAGAUCUGGUGUGAAGAUUUAGAAGAUGAAGAAGAUACGGCUGAUUUAGAGGAAGAAGAAAGAGGUAGUUAGGGAAAUAAAAAAGUAUACUGAUGCAUAUAUUUAGGUUUCGUGAUUUUGGUAGGAAUUUAUAAAAAUAUUUAAUUAAUAAAUAUAUGUUUAGUAGGAAAAUAGUAGAUAAUUUUCUAACUGAAUUUUU
rnacentral:lncRNA from 1 species